CAGCAGCCGCGGUAAUACGUAGAGUGCGAGCUUUAAUCGGAUUUACUGGGCGUAAAGCGUGCGCAGGCGGCCCGUUAAGACAGGUGUGAAAUCCCUGGGCUCAACCUAGGAAUUGCGCUUGUGACUGGCGGGCUCGAGUACGGUAGAGGGGGGUGGAAUUCCUGGUGUAGCAGUGAAAUGCGUAGAGAUCAGGAGGAACACCGAUGGCGAAGGCAGCCCCCUGGGCCUGUACUGACGCUCAUGCACGAAAGCGUGGGGAGCAAACAGGAUUAGAUACCCUGGUAGUCCACGCCCUAAACGAUGGGUACUAGCCGUUUGGUGCGCGAUAGCGCUGAGUGGCGAAGCUAACGCGUGAAGUACCCCGCCUGGGGAGUACGGCCGCAAGGUUGAAACUUAAAGGAAUUGGCGGG
rnacentral:rRNA from 1 species